rnacentral:tRNA from 1 species
UGCAUCGGCCGGGAAUCGAACCCGGGCCUCCCGCGUGGCAGGCGAGCAUUUUACCACUGAACCAUCGAUGC